rnacentral:tRNA from 1 species
GUGGCUACAGCUCAGUGGUAGAGCACAUGCUUAGCAUGCAUGAGGUCCUAGGCUCAAUCCCCAAUACCUCCA